UUAGUCUGACAUUAGUGGAAGGAAAGCUUUUGGAAGGGAUAAUAGCAUAAGGAUAAGAUUGCUGACUACAUUGAAAACCACAAUACUUUGAUGGGAUCGCAGUGGAUGUAAUACAAUUAUUGAUGCAAGGGUCAGUCAGGAGGAAAUUCAAAAGUGACUGGAACAUGUAAAGGUAAACAAAGUAUAGGUAUUGGUAACCAAUAAUGAAACGUUGAGCAGGGUUGGACUGGACCGGUGGGAGACCGGGAAAAAACCCGGUGGCCUAGACCAGACCUGCUCCCUGCGCAAAGCCGCUGGCAUGGCUUCUGACCUCCUUCCUUGGCCCUCUGAGGAAUAGAAGAAUGAACAUAAGAACUGGAAUUGCGUAAAUUCAUGGACUUUCAAUUUGUGACAUGGUUUAUCAUUGUCCUGUGCUGUCCUCAGCAGUUCCACAAUAUGACCGUCUUAUCCAUCUUACAAUUUAUUUCCAAGUGGCAAUGAUACCUUAUCUGAAGGCUGAUAUUCCCUCGGAGGAGAACCUUCAUUGUACAAGCUUUCAGGCUUCUGCUGCAAAUUUAUUUAGACUCCUGGCAAACUUCCCAGCUAUAAUAUUCUUUUCUCUAAAAUACAUUUAAAUGGUUCUUUUGAGCAGAGAUGAGUGAAUCAGCGGCAUUUCAAAUAGAACUCAAAUAAAAGAGAGACUCAAAUAAAUCAAAUUCAUAAAAAAUGGCAACUCUUGUGUGUUACCCAUGUGCCUGGUAUACUGUACAUCAGAAUCUUUUCUGUAAUAGUUUGUCCCAAUUUUUUCACGAAAGACAAUCAUCUUCAGGACACAUGUUAUGACCCUUAAACAGUUACAGUAGUUAGAACCAAUAAGGCAUGGCACACAAAGAUUAUUUUAAAUAUUUCAACUAAAAUCUGUCAGAUUUUGGUUAUACAACUCUAUAUGAUAUAAUUUGACUUAUUACAUAGUAACAUAGUAACAUAGUAAGUAAGGUUGAAAAAAGACACACGUCCAUCAAGUUCAACCUUUUCGUUUUUUUUAUCUGCCUAAC